UACGUAGGGUGCGAGCGUUGUCCGGAAUUACUGGGCGUAAAGAGCUCGUAGGUGGUUUGUCGCGUUGUUCGUGAAAUCUCACGGCUUAACUGUGAGCGUGCGGGCGAUACGGGCAGACUUGAGUACUGCAGGGGAGACUGGAAUUCCUGGUGUAGCGGUGAAAUGCGCAGAUAUCGGGAAGAACACCCGUGGCGAAGGCGGUUCUCUGGGACGGUACUGACGCUGAGACGCGAAAGCUAGGGGAGCAAACGGG
rnacentral:rRNA from 1 species